AGCGAACGCUAGCGGCGGGCCUAACACAUGCAAGUCGAGCGGAGGGGCAACCCUCAGCGGCGAACGGGUGAGUAACACGUAGGUAAUGUACCCUCUGGUGGGGAAUAACCGUGGGAAACCAUGGCUAAUACCGCAUAUGUCUUUCGAGAUGAAAGCAGCAAUGCGCCAGAGGAGCAGCCUGCGGCCGAUUAUUUAGUCCUAGUUGGUGAGGUAAUGGCUCACCAAGGGUACGAUCGGUAGCUGGUCUGAGAGGAUGAUCAGCCACACUGGAACUGAGACACGGUCCAGACUCCUACGGGAGGCAGCAGUGGGGAAUAUUGCGCAAUGGGCGAAAGCCUGACGCAGCCACGCCGCGUGAGUGAUGAAGGCCUCGGUUGUAAGAC
rnacentral:rRNA from 1 species